ensembl:lncRNA
GAGGAAACAGUUUCAGCAGUGGUCUUUGUAGUGGUCAGAUAAUUUUUUAAACCCCACACCUCAGAUCAUUGUCUGCAUUUUCCCUCUUGGGCAAAAGGAAGUUCUAACUUGGGGAAAGCACAGAUUGUAUUUUCUCAGUAGGCCUAAGAGGAACCAUAGGUGGAGGAACGAAGGGGCACUGGAGGUCCUCCCAGGUGGGUGGGAUCUCCCUGGUGGGGUGGGCAUCUUUGUCUUGAUGUGAUCAUGGAAAUCAUGGAAAUGACAGGUGGCCCGUGACAUCCUGCUAUUUAGAAGAGAAGAGUUUCUUGCAUCUCUUGGUGGGACCCCAGCUGUACCAUGUAGGAGGCACACCACACACUCAAGGCCUCAGAUGACCCCUUGGAACUGGUGUUGGGACCUCCAGUCGGGGCUGGGCUCCUUCAGCAAGAAGAGAAAGACCCUACAGGUUGGCAUAUUGUUGGUGCUGGGAGCGAGAUUUCACCUGUUUUGAUGGUUGGGCCAGAAGAGCUCUCUGAUCAUUGAGGGUGUCUUCCAGGAAGUUUCUGGUGACUGCUUGCUUCUUGGAGUUGGGACACGGUUUGUUGAAGAGUCUCUUUCUUGGUGUGUUUGUCCUAAAACAUGUCUCAAGUUGGCAGUUCCCACUUUCUCUGUGUCAAGAGCUCUUCUAACAUCCUCUGCCAUGAAUGAGGGUUCAUGGCUUUCCUGGUUCAGAAUGCAAAUGUAAAUUUUAUAGGACCUCUCUUGUUUUUCUAAUUUUUUCUCCAGGUCUUGGAUUUUCUGCUUAUUCAUUUUCACUUCCUCAAGCAGCUUCUGCUCUUUCUCCUUCCUGAUUGGCUGUCUGUGCACCAUCGUGACUUGUUGCCCAUGGCCUUCAUUAAGGCCUGUGUGGUUUUGCCUUCAUUUUCCAGGUGAGCAUUGACCCGGUGCAGGGGACCCUUGCCUCCUUCCUUGCCUUACCUACUCUUCCAACACUUGCACGCUGGACACAUCAUCUCGCUCAGAAUUGGAAGGCCGCAUCUUUUUCAAACCACUCUCUUUCUUCCUGACUUUGUUAGUGUUGCAGAGCCCUGACUUGCUGCUCAUGGCCUUCUGAAGGCUUGUGUGAUGUUCCUCUUGAGUUUUCGGCCGAGCAUGGGCUGUGCGCCCUCUUUGUUCUCCCUGCUAUGGCAUGGUGAUACUGCCACUCUCUGUUUGGAAGAGAAGGAGGCUGCAUCUUUCAAACUGUUGUGGACAGUGUUUUGUCCGGGGAUUGUCAUGAUCUGAUCCGUCAGACUUCGUAUUUUUUUUUAUCCUGGAAUUCGGCUGCUUUCUGCCUCGUGGCACAUUGGAUGCCGGGGCCGGGGGCAUGAGCCAUGGUAAAUGGCACCAGGAAAUUGGGGUAUUUGCCCACCGACUCCUUUCUCUUCUUGGCUGAGGGAUGCUCUGCAGGCGUUAACUCUCCAGAACUUGCGGCCUCCCCGCCUUUGAGGGUCCAUUUCUUUUCCCCUUUGUGCUUUCUCCUGGAGUGCUUCAGUUCCUUUCCAGUUCACCCAGCUGUGUCAGCUGCUUAGUCUUUGAUGAAAUGUCCUCUCUUCUGAGGAGUGUGUCCUGACUUUGAUGAUCUUUAUGACACCAGAGGCCAAGAAAAGCGACACUGCAAAGGGAGUCAGAGCAGCAGCCCCCUUCCUUCAGGACUUGUAAGGGCCACCUUUGGGGUGAGACCAGAGAUCUGUCCUCUAGGCUGUGACUGUGGGGACAGCUGGUGCCCCUUCAGCUUCUCCUUUGUGUGUGCUGACAAUAAUCCUUGGGGGACGCGUUGCCCUGUCCACCCCUGCCGCAGAGCCACGGUUUGCUGUGCGGGCUUUGUCAUUUAGAGCAUGGUUUUGUGCUUCAAAACUUUUCUUUGGGUUUUAAAAUUAACAUUCAGGAGGCUCGCUUUUCCUUAACCUUUAAGUUCCAUUUGCAAUUUCUGCUCUUAACAAAUUUUAACGAUCCCUUUUAAGGGGAGUUGGUGAGAUUCCGGGUCCCAUUGGAAGUGGUUAGUGGUGACGGCCCAUCUCCUGCUCAUGACAAGCUAACAGUCACAGACUGGGCGGUGCAGCCUGGUGCCGGUCCUGUUCUGCCCUGGGCUGGUGGUCCAUAAGCUCAUUUCUCUCUCCAUGUUCCAUUGAGGUGAGGCUGGCUUCGGGGACAGGCGACCUGUGCUGUCACGCAGGCCCCACACUUGGUUUAAUGCUCUGCUGUCGUCAUCUUGAAAUUCUUAAGAAUCUUUUGAAGAAGGAAGCCCCGUGUUUUCUUUUAGCACUGGGCCCUACAGAUCAUUUACCUGGUAAGUCCUGAAGAGGGGCAGUUACAGACCAGAGUGUGUCCCUCAGCAUUACUGAGGGCAGCGGGGGAGGAGGGAAGAGCUCACUGGAGAAAGAGUUGUGGAAAGAGGCUGGGGUUAAGGAGAGAGAGAGUGGAGGGUGGGUAGAGAGGGAGAGGGCCCACCUUAAAAUCAACGGGAUGAAUAGGAUGAGAGAUUAGGCAUUUUGUGUGGGACUCAGAAAGGCAAGAACAUCCCCGCGAUGGUUUGCCUCCGCAAUUAUUUGCCAUCUCAUCAGACGGGGAGCCCCGUGUGGGCAGGGAUGGGUUUGCUUUGGUUCUUUACCAGGUAACUCCCGGUGUGAGUGUAGCAUAAUGGACAGCCUGUAGCUGAGGCUCCGAACAAUAGCCGUCAAACAAUGACAAACUUCAUCACUGAGCUGAAUGGCAGUGGAAUACGUUUCUUUGACGAGCAGCGAAUCCCCGGUGGGUCAGGGCACUGGUUAAGCAGAAACCAGUGGGUCGUUGGGUGUUAAUCACUGAUAUUUCUGUUGUUGGUUGAAUGCAGUGGAGCACAUGCCCUUUGGUACACAUCUGGGGUUGCAGCCCCUGGCCCUAACCCCAUGAAUCGCUCAGUGCCUGUUGAAGAACUUUCUUCUCUCAGCAUCUGGCCCUCCAAUCUGGAUUCUUUGUGUCUCUGCUGGGUUCCUUUUUCUUCCCCUGCCUCCCACCAUAGGCACCAUGGCGCUCCAACUCAAGCACCUUAAAAAUGUCCACUUAACAGAAUGACAGAUGGCAUGGUUGGUCCCUCCAACCACUUCUGUCACUUUCUGCCUAUUUCCACAUUAAGUACAUGCUUCCCACCUGACUAGCACUCCCACCCUUACCCCUGCAACUGAACAAACCCUUUGGUCAAUGUAGGUGGUCUGUAUAUAAUAAAUAGGCUUGCUUUGCUUCUGUGGUAUCUACCCAACCCCACACGCCUUCCCUGUCCUGGGAGCUGCUCCCUCGGAGGCCGACCCUCCCCUGCUUCUCAUCGUGCAUGAAUUUCCUGGAAUAAAUCCUCCAGGAUGAGGCAUCUUGGGGAAGACAAAGAUGCUGGGAGUCCAGGAGAGGGUCUCUGGUAUCAGCUCUGUUCUGGACACCGGUAGCUGGAGUGGGGUCGGGGAGCCCGUAAGUAUUUUUCUUUGAUGGGGGUGUGGGACCUCCAGUGCAGAGGGUGAAUUUAAGCACGCGCCUCAGUUCAUGACAGUUCAUUAUCAAGGGUCUACUCUCUUGUGGGUUUUAAUCUUUUUGAAUGAGAUUUCCCACUCUCACACCUCCCUCUCCCACUGUGGGCAACGGUUCUGGAAUGCCCAGUGCGUGUCUUUUGGUUUUUUAUUGCUCCAACAAAGCACUGUUCCUAUCUUAUGUGUAAGCACUUUUAAUUCACAUAGAUGGUAUUGUCAUGCCAUUUCUUAUUCUGUUUCCUUUCUCACUCAACACUGUAUUUUAAGACGUGAUCUUCCGUUCCACAUUCUUAAAAUUUAUUGAGAUUACCCAAAGAGCUUUUGUUUAUGUGGGUUAAAACUAUCGAUAUUUACUACCUUAAAAAUUGAAACGGAGAUGUUUAAAAAUACUUAUUUAUUGAUUCAUUUGAAAAUAGCAAUGAUGAGCCCAUUGCACAUUAAUGUAAAUAACAUUUUAGCAUUAUUAUGAAAAUAGUUUUGACCCCGAAGACUCCCUGUCCUACAAUAAAGUGUCAGUUUGUUCCAGAAUGUGAAAAGGCCCUGUGAAGGACAAAGUUUGGAAAGUGAAUUUUAUAAGACCUGCAUCUGAAAAGAAACCAUGGAAUAUAUUAUAUUUUAGCAGAGUUUGUUCAGGUUUGAUGGGCUUGUUUCCUUGGUUUACUGAUUAAUAUGAGUGCCUACAAUAUGGAAAGUCAUUCUAGAAGGGGGAGAUUCUGUGUUUGACCAGAGAAUUUUUUGGUGCUUUAUGUUGAAUUUACCGUGUCUAAGAUUAUUUUAAAACACUGGGAACAAAACGCUCCUCAAUUAUAAACAAGCUAUAUGUAUACUUCUUUGUUUAUUUUACUCAUUUAUUUCACAAUCUGUGCCUGUGUAGGCUUUUAAAAGGAAAAUUAACAUAUUAUUCACCUUUUUAGAGAGUAGAGGUCAAUGGCUUUUAGGCUAUUAUUAGGUUGUGCAGCCGUCACCGCUAUCUAAUUCUACCUCAUUCCAGAACAUUUUCGAAAUGAAACCCUGUACCCAUUAGCUGUCAUUCCCCAUUUUCCUCUCCCAAACCCCAGCCCCUGGGAAUCAUUAGUCUACUUUGAGUCUCAAUGGAUUUGCCUAUUUUGGACAUUUCAUAUAAAUGGAAUCACACAAUAUGUGGCCUUUUUUGUCUGGCUUCUUUUGCUUAGCACAAUGUUCUUGAGGGUUAUCCAUGUUUAGUAUGUAUGAGGACUUCGUUCCAUUUUAUGGGUGAGUAAGAUUCCAUUGCAUGGAUACACCACAUUUUAUUUAUCCUGUCAUCACUUGAUGGUCAUUUGGGUUGUUUCCACUUUUUGGCUAUUAUGAAUACUGCUGCUAUGAACAUUUGUGUGUAAGCUUUUUGUUUCCAUAUGUCUUCAAUACCCCUGAGUCUGUUUACUUUUCAAUGUUAUCGCUUAAUUAAAUGGUUAACCGAAGAUUGUUUCUCAGGCACCUAUGGCAUUUAUUAACAAGUGUCCAGAUCUCUUCUGACAGCUCUUUAGAUUUUGCCUUCCCAAAUAAUUUAAUAUGCAAAGAAAAAAAGUGAAAGGGAACUUUGAGGAUAUCUUUCACAACUACAGUGAUCUUUGAGAUUCCCUGAGGAGACUUGGAAAAUCACAAAGAUUUGUUUUUGCACCUUAUUAAAAGAGAGAUGCUAGAAAUAAUUAGGUUCGUCUGAUGUGUUAUUAUUGUAAGAUUUGCACGAGAAGAGUUGUCAGAUGGGAAGCCAUGUUCAGCCUUCCUGAGGUUAAGCUUAUAUGGAUGAGAUGCUAAUGUAAGUAUUUUAGAAAUUGUAUGUUUUAUGGGAAGUCCCUGGCGAUCUGUCAAUGCUCUCACUGCCCAUAUGUUUUUUCCCUCAGGGGAAAUGCUCAUCUAACGUCUUUUGAAAUGGUUCUGUACUGUACCCUGAGAGAGAUGUCUGCUCUCCUGCAUUCUGAUAUUAUUGGUUAGAGCCAUCAAUUAACCACAGCUCUGGCAUCUCUGUCAUCGUACAAAUAUUUCUGUUUCCUCUGAUGCUUGCCUGAAGGCUCUGCUCUAAGCCGCAGCCUGCAGCCUGUGUCUUCAAUGCAAAGGGCCAGUCUUAGAGCCUCUUGAUAAAUGACCGUACCAGGUACUUCAAACCUGCCGUACUUUAAAGAGUAGACUCCUGGGUGCAGGCUUCUGACUGGCGUCACUUAAGCAACUCCAAGACUAGGCCCGCAGACCCAGUCAGGAUUUCCAGGACUCUCUUUGGUCCAGAAGCGGACGGCUUCAUUACAGCGGACUGCUAAGCCAAUCUAGCGGAACAAGAAUGAAUGGCAGGGGGCUGCAUGAAGUGAUGUAGGAAUUUAUUGUGGUUAUUGGUUUAUGGUGAUGUUGUUUGAACACUCUGCUUUCUGGCUAUGUGGGGGUGCCUUUUCUCUUCUUCAGCUCCCUGUAACCCACAACAAUUUAGUAGACUCUGCUUUUGUAAAUGGAAAUAAAAUGUUUACAAAUGAUGCUCGGUUUUCACUGGUGUGCCCUGGCAUCUCAUUGUGGUUUUAAUUUGCAUUUCCCGAAUGGCUAAUGAUGUCGAUCAUCUUUCAUGUGUCUGUCUGCCAUCCGUAUCCCUCUUUAGUGAAGCGGCCCAAGUUCUCCCAGCAGACUGUGGACUCUGAACGGAAACAAAGGACAGGCAUAAGGAGCACCCUGAGCCAGGCUUCUGGGCAGUUUCCGGGCCCCCAUCUCUUCAGCGUCUCCCCUGCCCCUGCCAUGGGACCAGUGUGUACAGGUCAGCUCCUGGGCUGUGGCAGACAGACUUGUCCCCGUGGGAUGUCUGCCGGGUUGGAAGACUGACACCCCCGAAGGAGGAGGCUCAUCCCAGAGGGUGGCACUUUCUCUGAAAGGUGAGUAGGACUCCCCAAAUUUGGAACCAGCUGAGGCCCUGUGAGGCCUGGGGCAGCCACAGAACGCCGGCUGGAAGUGGAGGAAGCAUCUGGCACAUCGACUCUAGCACCCACAGUAAAUAUUAUUCCCACGGCUGCCAUUCCAUGAUAACUAUGUGCCAGGCACUGUGCUAAGUGUGUGUGCAACUAAGAUUACCUGAGUCCUCUCAGAACACUCUGAGGAAGACACAUGCUGACCCACAUCUCAUACUGUGACAGGAACACAAAUAUUAACGAGUAGGGGGGCUGUGUUUUUGCCUGUGUAUUAGCUUCCUGUUGCUGCUGUAACCAAUUUCCACAAACAUUGUGGCUUAAAACAACACAAAUCUAUUGUCUUGCAGCUCUGAGGAUCAGAAGUCCAAAAUGGGCUAAAAUCAAGGUAUCGGUAGGCCCGUGGCACUUCUGCAGGCGCUGAGGGAGAGUCUGUUUUCCUGCUUUUCUGAGUUUCUAGAUGCUUCCUGCUUCCAUCUGCAAAGCCAGCAGUGGCUGGCUGACUCUUACAUCUUGUCGCUCUGACUCUGAUUUCUGCCUCCCUCUUUCACGUCUAAGGACCCUUGUGAUUACUUUGGGUGCACGUGGAUAGUCUCCGUAAGGUCAGCUGAUUAGCAACCUUAAUUCUUCUACAACCCUACGGCCCCUUUGCCAGGUGGGGUAAUGUGUUCACUACAUCUGGUGCCUAGGGCUCAGAUAUCUUAGGGGGGCCAUUAUUCUGGGGGGUUGAGGGGUACUAGGUGAGGAGGAGGCUGGGAGGAAGGGCACCCUGCGGUGUGUGGGUUGAGCAGGUGUGGCAGGAACCGUAGGGGGUGAGGAUGCAGCCCUCUGGACUUCCAGUCUAG